GUAGAUAUAGUUUAAUUUAAAACAUUAGACUGUGGCUCUAAAAAUGGGGGUUAAAAUCCCCUUAUUUACC
rnacentral:tRNA from 1 species